AAUAUUGCACAAUGGAGGGAACUCUGACGCAGCGACGCCGCGUGAUCGAUGAAGGUCUUCUGAUCGUAAAUCUCUUUCCUCAGGGAAGAUGAAAGUGACGGUACCUGCGGACGAAGCCCCGGCUCACUACGUUCCAGCAGCCGGGGUAAUACGUAGGGGGCAAGCGUUGUCCGGAAUUAUUGGGCGUAAAGGGUGCGUAGGCGGCCUUUUAAGUCAGAUGUGAAAGCCCACGGCUUAACCGUGGGACUGCAUUUGAAACUGGAGGGCUUGAGUAUCGGAGAGGGUAGUGGAAUUCCCAGUGUAGCGGUGGAAUGCGUAGAUAUUGGGAGGAACACCAGUGGCGAAGGCGACUACCUGGACGAAAACUGACGCUGAGGCACGAAAGCUAGGGGAGCAAACA
rnacentral:rRNA from 1 species